UCGAGCGAGUCUGCCUUGAAGAUCGGAGUGCUUGCACUCUGUGAAACAAGAUACAGGCUAGCGGCGGACGGGUGAGUAACACGUGGGUAACCUGCCCAAGAGAUCGGGAUAACACCUGGAAACAGAUGCUAAUACCGGAUAACAACAGAUGAUGCCUAUCAACUGUUUAAAAGAUGGUUCUGCUAUCACUCUUGGAUGGACCUGCGGUGCAUUAGCUAGUUGGUAGGGUAACGGCCUACCAAGGCGAUGAUGCAUAGCCGAGUUGAGAGACUGAUCGGCCACAUUGGGACUGAGACGCGGCCCAAACUCCUACGGGAGGCAGCAGUAGGGAAUCUUCCACAAUGGACGCAAGUCUGAUGGAGCAACGCCGCGUGAGUGAAGAAGGGUUUCGGCUCGUAAAGCUCUGUUGUUGGUGAAGAAGGACGGGGGUAGUAACUGACCUUUGUUUGACGGUAAUCAAUUAGAAAGUCACGGCUAACUACGUGCCAGCAGCCGCGGUAAUACGUAGGUGGCAAGCGUUGUCCGGAUUUAUUGGGCGUAAAGCGAGUGCAGGCGGUUCGAUAAGUCUGAUGUGAAAGCCUUCGGCUCAACCGGAGAAUUGCAUCAGAAACUGUCGAGCUUGAGUACAGAAGAGGAGAGUGGAACUCCAUGUGUAGCGGUGAAAUGCGUAGAUAUAUGGAAGAACACCGGUGGCGAAGGCGGCUCUCUGGUCUGUNACUGACGC
rnacentral:rRNA from 1 species